rnacentral:rRNA from 1 species
GACGAACGCUGGCGGCGUGCUUAACACAUGCAAGUCGAACGGAAAGGCCCUGCUUUUGUGGGGUGCUCGAGUGGCGAACGGGUGAGUAACACGUGAGUAACCUGCCCUUGACUUUGGGAUAACUUCAGGAAACUGGGGCUAAUACCGGAUAGGAGCUCCUGCUGCAUGGUGGGGGUUGGAAAGUUUCGGCGGUUGGGGCUGGACUCGCGGCUUAUCAGCUUGUUGGUGGGGUAGUGGCUUACCAAGGCUUUGACGGGUAGCCGGCCUGAGAGGGUGACCGGCCACAUUGGGACUGAGAUACGGACCAGACUCCUACGGGAGGCAGCAGUGGGGAAUAUUGCACAAUGGGCGGAAGCCUGAUGCAGCAACGCCGCGUGCGUGAUGCCGGCCUUCGGGUUGUAAACCGCUUUCGCCUGUGACGAAGCGUGAGUGACGGUAAUGGGUAAAGAAGCACCGGCUAACUACGUG